AUCUGGCUGACAAGUGCUAAAUGGGACGAAACGCGCGUCCUGGAU
rnacentral:hammerhead_ribozyme from 1 species